rnacentral:lncRNA from 1 species
AUUAAAGGGUAUGAGUGGUGGUCUGAGGCUCUUCAUGGAGUUUCCAAUGUGGGUCCAGGGACCAAGUUUGGUGGAGCCUUCCCUGUGGCCACUAGCUUCCCUCAAGUCAUCACUACCGCUGCUUCUUUCAAUGCAACUUUGUGGGAGGCUAUUGGACAGGUGAGAUUUUUUAACCUUGAUUAGAUUUUAUUAAAUCAUUAAUUAGACUAUAUAUAUAUCAAAGUAAGACGGAUACUUAAAGCCAUAACAGGGAUUCUAUCCAUAGAGAACCUUCUGUUUCUUUUUGUUUACCUUGUACAUAUGAGCUGAAUAGAACAGUCAGUUUUGUUCCAUAUGGAAAGGCAGCCCUUAUAGCAUGCAAACCUCACCAAGAUUUGCAACCAUGCAUAGCAUGUGUCAGCUCUGCUAUACAAUUUGCUCGGGAGCCCAUACAAAUAAUGCAGGGACGCGUCUUACAUGAACCAAUGUAAACAAACUGCUUUUAUAUGUGUCUCUCUCUGAGUGUGUGUGUGUUAGUUGAAAAAAAAUAAAAACUCUCCACAAAAUUCAAUGAUGUAGCCACCUCUCUUUAUUGCAUCUCGUCAAUAGCUACUGCGCCGCAUUAAAGAUUAACAAAAGCAAAGAUACUUUUUUUCCUUUUCUCUUUCUUUUUUUAUCGAACAAAAACAAAGAUAUAUAAUAUUACUGUCUUUUAAAAAAGUAGUAACAAAAAAUUAUUAAUUUUAAUUAUCUUCAUUUGUGGAUUCAUUCUUUACCAAAUGCGUAUAAUGUCAGGCAAGUUGCCCCCUUUUUUUUUGAAGAAAAAAACCCGGCCAAUAUAGUAC